rnacentral:SRP_RNA from 1 species
GCCAGGCAUGGCGGCUCAUGCCGGUAGUCCCAGCUACUCAAGAGGCUGAGGCAGGAGGAUCACUUGAGUCCAGGAGUUAGAGGCUGCAGUGAGCUAUAAUUGUACCACUGCACUCCAGCCUGGACAACAGAGUGAGACCCUGUCUCUA